GGAACCUGGUGGGCACUGGGGGGAGCAGAAGCACCCUCUGAAGGCACCGCGGGCAGGGCUAUCUCUCUCCAUCGGCCCGGCGCGGGCGGCCCCGGCCCUGCCCCUAGAGCUGGAGGGCGAGAGCCACAUCCAGCCCCGGGCGGCAGACGGGCAGCACCACCCUUCGCGGGCAGCACCUCCCCGCGGCGCGGUGGGAGCGAGAGGGAGGAUCAUCCCCGCCCCGCUCUCCCCUCCCUCCCUCCCUCCGAGCCUGCAGCCGCAGCCCCCCCCCCCCCCCCCCCCCCCCCCCCCCCCCCCCCCCCCCCCCCCCCCGAGCCUGCAGCCGCAGCGCCGGGCAGGGGAGCGGCGGCGCGGCAGGCACAGCCUCCCGGCGGCGGAGCAGCAGGCACAGCCUCCCGGCGGCGGAGCGCCCGGCGGAGCAGCAGGGCGGGCGGGCGUUGGCAGCGCCGGCCCCCCCCCCCCCCCCCCCCCCCCCCCCCCCCCCCCCCCCCCCCCCCCCCCCCCCCCCCCCCCCCCCCCCCCCCCCCCCCCCCCCCCCCCCCCCCCCCCCCCCCCCCCCCCCCCCCCCCCCCCCCCCCCCCCCCCCCCCCCCCCCCCCCCCCCCCCCCCCCCGGUGAGCGGCGCUGCCUGUUGCGCCGAGCGGAGCCGUGCCGAGCGGAGCGGAGCGGAGCGGAGCCGCCGGGGCCACACGCCGAGAAGUUUUGCGGGAAGGCGCCGCGAUGUGCUGGAUCCACUCCACGCAGAGCCAGCUUUGCCACACAAGCUGAGAAGAUGCCUGAGCUGCGUGGGCCGCCUGAGUGCAGGGAGAGUGAGCAGAUGGCAGCCCUCACUGCAGGCCUGAUGAUGCUGUUCCUGGUGGACUUGGUUUGAAACACUAGUUCUCAUCCCUUGUGGAAAACCACCGUGGUUCACGGCACAUGGACCUCAGCUGUUCAGCUUCCCAUUCCCAUACAUGUGUGGGUGUCCACUUGUGUGGGUGCAGCAACAUUUGACUCAGCUAGGUCUUGCUGGUGGGAAGGCAGGAAUUUCUGUGCUGGACAGUGUGAGUUACUGUGUAUACAGAUGAUGAGGUUGGGGGGCAACAAAAUCCUCUGUGCACUUGUUGGAGAGUGGGUGGGAGAGGGUCAGAGGGUGCUUGUCAUAAUCAUGUGCUAUUGCAGUAUUCAUGUAAGUGGUUCGUGUUUAUUUUGUUUUCUUACUGGUUUAAUACUGGAGCCUCUUCUGUAAAAAUGAAAGAGCAAUUAAAUCAUUACUUAUCAGUAAUGCUAUAAUGUUUCUGUCAUGAUGAAGAAGCACUUAAUUACUGUAUGUUACAUGUCACAUCAGAGCCUGUCAUGUUGCUUUUUUCUGGGAGACUCCCCAGGGAAGGACUCAGCCAAAUUCUUGGUACAUCCCUGCCUGACUACAGGGCGCACAGCUGAGCAAAACACACCUUGUUCACUUGGCAGCUACACUCAGGAGGAUUCUUUGUGUCUGUCAGAGGCAAACUAUCACACAGCUGAGCAAAACACACCUUGUUCACAAGGCAGCUACACUCAGGGGGAUUCUUUGUGUCUGUCAGAGGCAAACUAUCUACUUGUCUCUCAAACAUUGUGCAUUUCCACUUGUAAACUUCAUUUAUUGUUGGAGAAAAUAUGUCAUUCAGAGGAGAUAGGUGAAGGGUGAGGAGAAUCUGCAAGUUAUGCUCCCAGGGAGAAAAGAGUGGCUGGGGUGGAUGAAGCAGAACUUGAUUUGAGGCAGGGGGUUACAGGAGUGCCUGGAGAAGCCAAUAAAACCCAGAAAUUUGUCAAUCUGUUAUGGGAGAAGCCCUGAACUCUCUGCAGAGAGUGGAGGAAUAGGAGGGAGAAGCUGAAGUAAGAUGCCUGCCUGGAGAGGAUGCUCUGCAUGGAGAUAUGCAUCCAUUCAGGCAGAUGCUGGGGAGGGAGGGGGAGAUGCAGGGAAUUCCCCUGUUCAGUUCCCUAACCCUUGCUGACACCGUGACUUGCUUUCCACCUCCCACACCACCACUGAUCCUGCACUCUGCUCCAGAAAGGCUGUAAAGGCAAAGCUGAGCUAGAAGAGAGAGGUAUUAGCUUGCUUAUGCUUCUGGUGGUCAGUUACCCAGUCCCACCUGGGCUGGCCAGAGUGUUCCUACCUGGACACCUGGAGUUCCUGAGACCUGGGUUGGUGGAAGACUUCCCACUGCUCCUGCUGUGAGGCUGUUUCCCACUCAGUGGGGUGGGGAAGGAAAGGUUCCAGCCCCUCUGGUGGCUGCUGGGUUGAUCUGCCUCUCCCAUAUUGCUACCCCACAGUUUGGCUCUUCAAGCUGAUAUUUGGCUUUUCCCUGCUCAGCCCUCACAACGGCUGAAGAGGAAAGAUAUUUUUUCUUUCUAGGAGGUGAAUCAUAAAUAAUGUCCAUGCUCUGCUUUCCCACAGAAAGGUUUUUAAACCAGCUGAAUGUGCCCUUUGAAACACAGGGAAGAUGCAGUGUACAUAAUGAAGUCAUCCCUUGUAUGCUUCUAUCUGCUUUGUAUGUAUUUUUAAAAAUUUUUAAGCUGGGACACCACCUACCCUGCUGUAAUGUCUUCCUGGGUGAGGUACAGAAGUGUGGAGGUCAGAUCCUUCCUUACCUGCAGUAGUUUAAUGUAAGUCCAUUAAAAUCAAAAGAGCAGUUCUCAUUUUUCACAGUAAAGAUCCUCUUGCAGAAUGUAUUUUUAACUGCCAGCAUCCUCACUGCGAGGGAAAGAAAUCCAUGGUAAUUUGGGGAGAAUAUUUAGCCAGUCAGCUUUAAAGAUUCUCCUAUUUUAGUUGUGCCUAGGGAUUCCUAUCAGAGAAAAAGAUGCUGAUAAAGGUGAUGGUUUGGGACAAGUUUAAUUCAACAUUGACUUAAGCUGUCAGGGCUAAGUAGAUCAAGAAGAAUAGCACUCAAAUUAUGACAGCUUCAAGGCUUUGUAGAUAGAGAAUCUAAUUUUAAUUAUGAUCUUCACUGGAUUUUGAAAAGAUCAUAGUCUUUCAUCAGUGCCUAGAAGGACAAGAAGCAUAUACAUGAACUCUUCCACCUUAAAGGUAGGAGCAAACCUGUCUUUUGUUUUAGCCCAAAGCAUGUGAAGGCCAACAUAACUUUUGUUCCUUUUUCUUGAAUUAUGUGGCACAAUGUUAUUUUUUGCAGAGUUAUUACUAUACUGAAAAUGUUGUUGCUAUACUGCAAGGACAAUAAAGCAGACUUUCCUAAAAGCAAAAUUUUUCUUCAGUUGACUGAAGACAUCCCUCCCUCCCAGUUUAGAGGUAUCUCCCUCACUCAACAAGAUUUAAAAAAAAUAAGCUACUUUUAAAAUAUCAGUCUCAGGCUUUGUCUUAAGUUAAAAACUUUUAAGCCAGAGAUUUAUUAAGGUUAGUGUUUAUAAUGCUGGCAUUAUGUCACUUGCUUCUAUGAGGAAUUUUUGGACAAAUAGUUUGCAAGCAGGCGUCCUGCAUUUGAAAAAAUCUUGUUUUGCAGGCUUGUUUAACUUAUUUUAGAUACAGUGGCUAUCUCUACCUAAAAUCCUUAUCAUUGUCAAGGAAGUGAGAAUUUCUCAGGUCUAUCAUCACUCUUAAUUCUGUUAAAUGUAAAGCACCAUGAAUGUUAACCUUUGUUGUCUGUUGCCAGCCUCUUCUAGGACCUGAUCAUUCUUAGAUGGGGACAGAUCUGGGCUGGUCUGCUGGGGUGCAUGAUACCAACAAAGAAAAGAAGAAACAAGGAGAAACUCCUGUUGAAAUAGAGGACAACUUUUCAACUUUUAGACCAGUAUACCUGAGUGAAGCUCACUUGUGAAAGAAAGAAUCUAUGGAGCAUGAUUGGAAAGGUGUUCAGAAAACAGAUGGUUCACUUUUAUUGUUUCCCUUUUUCUUGUUUUUCACUUUUGAAAUUGAUGUCCUGCAAAAUUUUACAGUGAUUGGAGAAAUAGAAAGUGAAUUGCCACAGCCAAAUGAGGAUUUUUAAUAAGAGGAAGGAAAGGGGUUUUUGUUAAGUCAGAUUGUCUUGGACUCUGCUAGCAUGUAAUUUUUUUCCAGUGGCUAAUUAACU
ensembl:lncRNA